ACCAGGUCCUGGGUGUAUGUGGGAAUCCCCAGCUGCUGCUAUGGCUGCUGGCUGCCAGGGCUCUGACUCUGAGUUGUAUCUCAGCCACGCUCCCGGACCACAGCCAGAAAAGACUCUUGAGAAGAAAGACCCAUGAAAGUCAAAUAAAGUGGGUGAACCCACCCACAUGCCUGGACGAUGAGUCUCUGGUUCUGAAUGUGGAAGACACACCUCUAUCCUGAUAACGUGGAAUGGGAGUUAGCAGUGUGGAUGACCCUGGACAAGCCACUUCACCUCUCCUCAGAUUCCCACCCUUAAAAUAGAACCUGGCCAGUUCUGAAAUUCUGAUUUCUGAUCAACUGAAGAAAUGCUCAGAGUGAGGGGUGUCCAGGAAAGCCAGGUUCUCCUCCAGAACUCCCCACAGCCUCUGCACUGCCCAGGCCUCCUAGUCUCCAAAUGUGGCCUCUCGUCUCCGGAUGCCUGAGACUUACUACAUGGCUCCAUGUCCUCUGCCCUCAAUAAUCCAGACAGCCACAGCGUGCACUGUUUGGGUCCAUUUCUUAGCUGGAGAAGGGAAUUGGAUGCUACCCUCAAUGGGAACGUGAGCUGCCAAAUGCAAGGACUGCAGCCGGGUCGCCUGAGAACGCCUGCCUGCCUGCCUGCCUGCCCAGAGGCAGGGAGAAGACGGCAAGGUGUCAUCUCCACGACUCAGCUCGGAAGCCUCUUAACUGUGCACUUAAUAAAUGAAGCCUUG